GCUGAGAUACACAGUUCGCAGU
rnacentral:miRNA from 1 species